rnacentral:rRNA from 1 species
UUAAAUUGAAGAGUUUGAUCAUGGCUCAGAUUGAACGCUGGCGGCAGGCCUAACACAUGCAAGUCGAACGGUAACAGGAAGCAGCUUGCUCUCGGGUGACGAGUGGCGGACGGGUGAGUAAUGUCUGGGAAACUGCCUGAUGGAGGGGGAUAACUACUGGAAACGGUGGCUAAUACCGCAUAACGUCGCAAGACCAAAGAGGGGGACCUUCGGGCCUCUUGCCAUCAGAUGUGCCCAGAUGGGAUUAGCUGGUUGGUGAGGUAACGGCUCACCAAGGCGACGAUCCCUAGCUGGUCUGAGAGGAUGACCAGCCACACUGGAACUGAGACACGGUCCAGACUCCUACGGGAGGCAGCAGUGGGGAAUAUUGCACAAUGGGCGCAAGCCUGAUGCAGCCAUGCCGCGUGUAUGAAGAAGGCCUUCGGGUUGUAAAGUACUUUCAGCGGGGAGGAAGGUGUUGUGGUUAAUAAC